rnacentral:rRNA from 1 species
CCUAUGGGCGACAGCAGUGGGGAAUAUUGCACAAUGGGGGGAACCCUGAUGCAGCGACGCCGCGUGAGUGAAGAAGUAUUUCGGUAUGUAAAGCUCUAUCAGCAGGGAAGAAGAUGACGGUACCUGACUAAGAAGCCCCGGCUAACUACGUGCCAGCAGCCGCGGUAAUACGUAGGGGGCAAGCGUUAUCCGGAUUUACUGGGUGUAAAGGGAGCGUAGACGGCAGGGCAAGUCUGGAGUGAAAGCCCGGGGCCCAACCCCGGGACUGCUUUGGAAACUGCCAUGCUAGAGUGCUGGAGAGGUAAGCGGAAUUCCUAGUGUAGCGGUGAAAUGCGUAGAUAUUGCGCAGAACUCCGAUUGCGAAGGCAGCAUACCGGCGGCGAUCUGACGCUGAGGCACGAAAGCGUGGGUAUCGAACAGGAUUAGAUACCCCUGUAGUC